CCCUGUGGAUUUGUCAGGAGGGGAGGGGUGGGUGUGAAUGGGAGUGUAGUUGAGAGGAAGAGUGCAGGAGGAGGACACCGGCCAGCUGGAAUGGAGAAAGCCAUGAGUUUCUAGCAAUUUCCUUUUCCAAGCCCCUCUUGCAAGUGAGCAUCUUUAAUUUAUUAAGGGACUGAUUUGAAAUCAUCCUCCCUCUCUCCCUGCCCACACUCCACCCUCCACUGCCUAUAUUUCCCCUGACCAUAAAUUUCUUUU
rnacentral:lncRNA from 1 species